UGCGUAGGCGGUUAUCUAAGUCACGUGUGAAAUCUUCCGGCUCAACCGGAAAACUGCGCGUGAAACUAGAUGACUUGAGUGAGGUAGGGGUGUGUGGAACUUCCGGUGGAGCGGUGAAAUGUGUAGAGAUCGGAAGGAACGCCAGCAGCGAAAGCGGCACACUGGGCCUUUUCUGACGCUGAGGCACGAAAGCUAGGGGAGUGAACGGGAUUAGAUACCCCGGUAAUCCUAGCCGUAAACACUGAACACUGGAGGACGGGGGCUUCGGCCUUCGUUCUCGUAGCGAAAGCGUUAAGUGUUCCGCCUGGGGAGUAUGGUCGCAAGGCUGAA
rnacentral:rRNA from 1 species